UGCAAGUCGAACGGAAACGAUGGAAGCUUGCUUCCNGGCGUCGAGUGGCGAACGGGUGAGUAAUGCUUGGGAAUCUGCCUAAUAGUGGGGAACAACUCGGGGAAACUCGGGCUAAUACCGCAUAAUCUCUUCGGAGGAAAGGGGGCCUCUACAUGUAAGCUCUCGCUAAUAGAUGAGCCCAAGUCAGAUUAGCUUGUUGGUAAGGUAACGGCUUACCAAGGCUACGAUCUGUAGCUGGUCUGAGAGGAUGAUCAGCCACACUGGGACUGAGACACGGCCCAGACUCCUACGGGAGGCAGCAGUGGGGAAUAUUGCACAAUGGGCGAAAGCCUGAUGCAGCAAUGCCGCGUGUGUGAAGAAGGCUCUAGGGUUGUAAAGCACUUUCAAUAAGGAAGAAAAGCAUAAGGUUAAUAACCUUAUGUAUUGACGUAACUUAUACAAGAAGCACCGGCUAAUUCCGUGCCAGCAGCCGCGGUAAUACGGAAGGUGCAAGCGUUAAUCGGAAUUACUGGGCGUAAAGCGCGCGUAGGCUGUUAUUUAAGUCGGAUGUGAAAUCCUCGGGCUCAACCCGGGAACUGCAUCCGAAACUGAAUAACUAGAGUAUGGGAGAGGUAAGUAGAAUUUCCGGUGUAGCGGUGAAAUGCGUAGAUAUCGGAAGGAAUACCAGUGGCGAAGGCGGCUUACUGGACCAAUACUGACGCUGAGGUGCGAAAGCGUGGGGAGCGAACAGGAUUAGAUACCCUGGUAGUCCACGCCGUAAACGAUGAGAACUAGAUGUUGGGAGGGUUAGCCUCUCAGUGUCGCAGCUAACGCAUUAAGUUCUCCGCCUGGGGAGUAC
rnacentral:rRNA from 1 species